AUUUGGUGCUAAGGGCACUUGAUGCAUAAUUUCUUGAAUCGCUCCCAGUAAUCAUAAAGCGACUCCCCUGGGUGCUGCUUGUUACCACAGAUCUCCUUCCUUAGACU